GAUGAACGCUGGCGGCGUGCCUAAUACAUGCAAGUCGAGCGAACGGACGAGGAGCUUGCUCCUCUGACGUUAGCGGCGGACGGGUGAGUAACACGUGGAUAACCUACCUAUAAGACUGGGAUAACUUCGGGAAGCCGGAGCUAAUACCGGAUAAUAUAUUGAACCGCAUGGUUCAAUAGUGAAAGACGGUUUUGCUGUCACUUAUAGAUGGAUCCGCGCCGCAUUAGCUAGUUGGUAAGGUAACGGCUUACCAAGGCAACGAUGCGUAGCCGACCUGAGAGGGUGAUCGGCCACACUGGAACUGAGACACGGUCCAGACUCCUACGGGAGGCAGCAGUAGGGAAUCUUCCGCAAUGGGCGAAAGCUUGACGGAGCAACGCCGCGUGAGUGAUGAAGGUCUUCGGAUCGUAAAACUCUGUUAUUAGGGAAGAACAAAUGUGUAAGUAACUAUGCACGUCUUGACGGUACCUAAUCAGAAAGCCACGGCUAACUACGUG
rnacentral:rRNA from 1 species